GAUGAACGCUGGCGGCGUGCCUAAUACAUGCAAGUCGAGCGAACGGACGAGAAGCUUGCUUCUCUGAUGUUAGCGGUGGACGGGUGAGUAACACGUGGAUAACCUAUCUAUAAGACUGGGAUUACUUCGGGAAACCGGAGCUAAUACCGGAUAAUAUUUUGAAUCGCAAUGUUCAUAAGUGAAAGACGGUCUUGCUGUCACUUCUACAUGGCUCUGCGCUGCUUUCGCUAGUUGGUAAGGUAACGGCUUACCAAGGUAACGAUGCAUAGCCGACCUGAGAGAGUGAUCGUCCACACGGGAACUGAGACACGUUCCAGACUCCUACGGGACGCAACAAUAGGGAAUCUUCCGCAAUUGACGAAAGCCUGACGUAUCGACGCCGCGUGUGUUAUGAAGGUCUUCGGAUCGUAAAACUCUGUUAGUGGGGAAGAACAUAUGUGUAAGGAUCUGAGCACAUCGUGACGGUACCUAAUCAGAAAGCCACGGCUAACUACGGU
rnacentral:rRNA from 1 species